UACGUAGGGUGCGAGCGUUGCCCGGAUUUAUUGGGCGUAAAGGGCGCGUAGGCGGCCUGGCGCGUCGGCUGUGAAAUCUCCCGGCUCAACUGGGAGGGGACGGCCGAUACGGCUGGGCUUGAGCGAGGUAAGGGAGAGUGGAAUUCCCGGUGUAGUGGUGGAAUGCGUAGAUAUCGGGAGGAACACCAGUGGCGAAGGCGGCUCUCCGGACCUCUGCUGACGCUGAGGCGCGAAGGCGUGGGGAGCGAACGGG
rnacentral:rRNA from 1 species